UACGUAGGGUGCAAGCGUUGUUCGGAAUUAUUGGGCGUAAAGCGCGCGCAGGCCGCCCUGCAAGUCUGAUGUGAAAGCCCGGGGCUCAACCUCGGAAUGGCAUUGGAAACUGUGGGGCUUGAGUCCGGGAGGGGCCCGUGGAAUUCCUGGUGUAGGGGUGAAAUCCGUAGAGAUCAGGAGGAACACCGGAGGUGAAAACGACGGGCUGGACCGGAACUGACGCUGAGGCGCGAAAGCGCGGGUAGCGAACAGG
rnacentral:rRNA from 1 species